rnacentral:lncRNA from 1 species
CCUCCCUGAGGCCGCUCGGCCGCUGCUGCCCCCCCGCUCGCCCUCAGCCGCGGCCAAAGCCCCUCGGCCCCGGGUCAGAGCGCUUGGAAAGGCGGCUCUGCCCGCCCUGCGGGUGUCGGGAAUGGCUCGGGAGCGAGGGGAUCCCCGGGCCCUCAGCGCCCGCGGCUGCCCGGGGGGAGAGCGGCUCUAGCUCCCAACGUGGGUUUUGUAACCGGGACCGGGAAACGUUUUUUGUGUCAAUGGAUUCGCUGCUGGACCAUCCCAUCAGUGCAACUCGUUUGAUUUCAGGUCUGCUGUGGACUGGGGCGAUGGCGCAAUUACAGAUUCGAGUGAUGUUUUAUUUUUUCUCAGGUGAGAAAAAUAUAAGACCACCUCUUGUAGUGGCCCUUUCAGUCUUGGCUGCAGGACUAAAUUUUGCCUGGAACUCUGCAGUAUCCAAGGCUCAGGUUUUAUAUUCAGGUUGGUACCACCAGCAGCAACCUUGA